rnacentral:sRNA from 1 species
UGUUUUAGUACCUCUAUCUAGAGACGGCUGAAUGUCGAAAAGUUCUGGUGUUUCUUCAAUAAAUUUAGUUGUGUAAUCACCACUUGUGA